AGCAGCGCGGGGAGAGAUAAGUCCCAAGCGCCCCAUCUCCCCUCCUCUCGCUUUUCCAGUUUCCCGUCGCCUCCGCCAUCGCCUCCUCCCCUCUCCCCUCUCUCUCUCCCGUCUCCUCCCUCUCAACCCUAGUCGCCACCACCCACCCUCUACUGCUCCACCACACACCCACCUCCCCUCUGGAUCAGGUGCAGGCCGGCCGGUGCGCGCAGGCGGCGGCGCUCCACUCGAGGGCAAAGGGAGGCAACGGCGACGGUGGCCGCCGUGGACACCCGCGGCUAUGAUGAACCUCGCCGCCAUGAGGCCGCCAUGGAGGCCCGUCCCGAGCUCGGCUCGCCGCUCCUCCGGUGACCCUCGUUGCGCCUGGAUCCGGGUCGGGCGGAUCCGACGGAGGAGCCCUCCCAUGGCACCGGCGGCUCUGGAGAUGAGGGCUGCACAGAGGAAGAGGAGCAGCAGCAGCUCGAGGUCGUUACGCGUCGCCCACACCCCUCCUCCGCUCGCUCUCGUCUCUGUCAGGCUGCUGAUGUUCACUGCACUGGAGGGAGAGGACAAGAGUAAGAGAGCAAGAACAAUAGAUGAUUCGGUUAUUUGUGAAACUGACGGCUCUUGUGAGGAGCAAGGAUAGAGAAGGCUAUGAACCAAUGAGCAGAUGAACAUCAUCUUUAUCCAAAUAUCUUCAGAUAUAACUGACAUCCUCGCAGUGCGUGGGAGCCGGUGUCUUCGGCCAGAGCUGGGUCUCCUUGCCGGCGACCUUGCCAUCACCAGCCUAUCUGCAGUUUUGCAGGGAUGGACAUAUGGAUUGAAUGGUACCCUCCUGAAAUCUACACAGAUGUCAGGUACCAAGAACUUAAAUAAGAAUGUCCCAACUCCUUUUUUCUUUGAUUUCUUUUUGCAGAGAUCCGCUUGCUGUUCAUACUUCAACAUUACCAGAGUUUAAUGUACUAUCUAGCACAUGUAUCUGAGAAAGAAGAAAUAGGGCAAAGAAAAUCAGAUCGGAGAAAGAAGAGAUGAAGAACAAUUUUAAUUGAAGAGUUGAAGAAGACUAAGGUAAAUUUUAACCAUCUUGCAAACCCAAUUAAGUUUGCACUUGCAUUUUGAUAAUAUGAUUUGUGUUGAUGCAAGCACGAGUCCCCCUGAAGUGCUUGACCACCGGCCGGUUGCAGUGGAGGUCAGCAUCACCUAGCUGUGGCCAUCCUGGGCGCCGAGAGAAUUAGCUGAAAAAUCUUGCUGAGAUCCAGGUCACGGGUCAUCCCCAUUCAGGUGGCUAUGAAACUUGUUCCUAACAAAGACAAAUUUGUGGAGGUGGCUAGGGGAACAGGAGGAGCAAGUUUAGCCUGGCAGGUGCUUCUCAGGUUCGAUGGUUUCCAACAAGGGAGCGAUAUCCAUGCUCUGCAUCAAGGUUGUAGUGCUUUCUUCAUGGGUUCGGCCUUUGCCAUUAAGAUGCAUGAUGCUCUGACAAACAGAAACAUCAGGACUACAGACAGAUAGAAGAAGCUUUUAUCAAUGUCUCCCCUUUCUGACAAUUGAGUGAAUUUCUAUGCAAGAUAAAUUAAACUAUGUUCUUGAUCAUGAAUCUUUACGUGUCUGUGCUCAACUGAAUCGUGUUUGCUUGGUGUGAUCUCUCCCAGAACAAAAAUCUUGAUGAGCAAGAAGUAGUAUAACUGGCGGGAAAUGCUAGAGCUUUUUUGUUAUGUACCAUCAAGAUAGUAUGGCUUAUCAUUUUAAAUAGCAAUGCCUGAUGAGUGCUGAUCAUAUUAAUCUUUAA